rnacentral:rRNA from 1 species
GUCCACGCCCUAAACGAUGUCAACUAGGUGUCGGGAGCGCAAGUUCUUGGUACCGCAGCUAACGCGUGAAGUUGACCGCCUGGGGAGUACGGUCGCAAGAUUAAAACUCAAAGGAAUUGACGGGGACCCGCACAAGCGGUGGAUGAUGUGGAUUAAUUCGAUGCAACGCGAACAACCUUACCUACCCUUGACAUGUCCAGGAGGCGGCUGAAAGGUCGCUGUGCCCGAAAGGGAAUUGGAACACAGGUGCUGCAUGGCUGUCGU